AGAAUCCUCAGUAAUUAGUGAUUUUACUAACUUAUAUAUGUAAAGAUAUAUGAAUUUUAGCAGUAUCAAAAAUAGGAUGGUUUGUCCACUCCCAUCCAUUAAAUAAAUACAGAAGAAGCCGAUCGGAAUGUAGAAUUAUUUAACUCAGUGAAAUAUGCAUUAACCUUAUAGUUAUAGACCUUCAGAAAUAUAGGUUCUAACUAUGAACCAAUACUUGUGCCAGUCACCUAAUGCAAAUCCUUUUUUUCAGUUUUUUAUGUACCAUGGUUGUGCUUUACCGGUGUACGUAAUACAGAGGGUUAGAGCUUAUUUGGUUAUAUGCGUAAAUAUAGGACAAAAUUCACAAAUCUAUUUUGAAUAGC